GGGAAUGGGUUCCAGGCAGGGGGUGCUGUGGCAGCAGCUGGGGCUACUGUUCACCUCCCUGUACUCGAGCCUCAUUACAACCCCACCUCCUGCAGAAACCAGAGGGGGCUGACCAGAGGGCAGAACUUGGACCAGUGUAUGGAAGUUAAAAAGCAGAGUUUUUAAGGAGAUACUGUUUCACAGUUUGAAGUGAUUAAAAAAGACGGAGGUCCGGAGAUGUGAAAUGAUUUACCAAGGCUGCGUAAUGAGAUCUUGGCCGAGCCAGAAUUAGAACCCUGUUCUUCUACUUCCCAGACCGUGGCUCUACCCAUUGCCCUUACUUCAUUAAUACUAAUAAUGAUUGGGAAAUGUCUGAACAAUUUGUGGUUUGUGUAUGUAAUGGAAUGGAUUUGCAUUCUAAGAAAUGACAAAUAUAAGGAAUUCGAGGAGACUUGGAAAGAUUCACGCAUUCAUUCAUGAAAAGGAAAAUGGCACUAAAAGACAUCAGUAUUCAGAUCAGUGCCACGACCAACUGUUAAAACAUAGCUCUCUCCUGUCAUUAGAGAAAUGUGGGACUCUUGGUUGGAAUGAGGCAUCCACUGGAAAACACUAUCAAUGUUUCAGUUUAUUUUCUCAAGGUACUUGUUUCUUACAAGGAAGAGUUUCUAUUAAGGAAUGGAUACAGGAGAAGUGAAAGUGAAAUAAAAGCCAGCAAUUAAGCAACAGCUUACAUUUGUACAGCACUUAAUGUUUACAAAUCACUUAGGCACAAAUAUUUUAUUGCAUUUGAUCCUCAUAAUAACCCUGUGAGAAAAGCAUUUGUACCCACAUUUUACAGAUUAGAAAAGGAAGCCUCACACAGGUUAAGAGACCUUUCAAAGAUUGCUUUAACUAGUAAGGGGCAUAGCUGUGAAUGCACUUGAGGUCUUAUCACUCAUAAGUCCAGUGUUCUUUCCACCGACUCUUUCACUCUGCUCUUCAACUAAUAAGCUGUUUUGAAAUUCUGCCAAAGUACCAAAGAUCCCAUGACACAAUCGGUCGGUCAUGUUAUAUUUAAUUCCCAAGGAGAAUGCUACUAAUGUGGUUGUAUAAUAAACAAAUAAUCUCCCAGUCUCAAGGACCUGCACAUGACAUGUUCCCAAAUUCUCGGGAUCAUACCUAGCCCACAUUUUGUAAGGUACAAAAAUGGUCAAAAAAAUUAAAGAUACAACUGGAAA